rnacentral:rRNA from 1 species
UACGUAGGGGGCGAGCGUUGUCCGGAAUCAUUGGGCGUAAAGAGCUCGUAGGCGGUUUGUCGCGUCUGCCGUGAAAGUCCGGGGCUCAACUCCGGAUCUGCGGUGGGUACGGGCAGACUAGAGUGAUGUAGGGGAGACUGGAAUUCCUGGUGUAGCGGUGAAAUGCGCAGAUAUCAGGAGGAACACCGGUGGCGAAGGCGGUUCUCUGGGCAUUACCUGACGCUGAGGAGCGAAAGUGUGGGGAGCGAACAGG